AUGUUAGUGAAUUUUGGAUGAAAAUUUCAUUCCGGAUGAAAAAUUAGUCGCAGAAAAUGAUUUUCUGACAAUGAGUAAUUUUCUGCGACUAAUUUUUCAUUCGGAAUGACAUCAUCAUUACACGAACUCACUUCCUCAC
ensembl:miRNA